AGCGAACGCUGGCGGCAGGCCUAACACAUGCAAGUCGGACGGACCCUUCGGGGUUAGUGGCGGACGGGUGAGUAACACGUGGGAACGUGCCUUUAGGUCCGGAAUAGCUCCUGGAAACGGGUGGUAAUGCCGAAUGUGCCCUUCGGGGGAAAGAUUUAUCGCCUUUAGAGCGGCCCGCGUCUGAUUAGCUAGUUGGUGAGGUAACGGCUCACCAAGGCGACGAUCAGUAGCUGGUCUGAGAGGAUGACCUGCCACACUGGGACUGAGACACGGCCCGGACUCCUACGGGAGGCAGCAGUGGGGAAUCUUGCGCAAUGGGCGAAAGCCUGACGCAGCCAUGCCGCGUGAAUGAUGAAGGUCUUAGGAUUGUAAAAUUCUUUCACCGGGGACGAUAAUGACGGUACCCGGAGAAGAAGCCCCGGCUAACUUCGUGCCAGCAGCCGCGGUAA
rnacentral:rRNA from 1 species